UCCUGUGAAAAUCACAUCGAGAAUGCUAACCCACAGGAUUGGCUGAGGCUGGCCAGGGAAGUGAGGCACAAGUAAAAGGACCCCCUUGAAAAUACACCAGGAGAGAAAGGAGGAUCAUAAAAGGGGCAGGACUUUUCCUUUGGGUGAAUGGGACGAUAACGGACAAAAAGGCAAGAAAAUAUGAUUGCUAGAAAGCCAGGCUGAAGGUCCCAUGAGGAGUCUUGAGACCCUGGCUGAGGACAGCAUUGGAUGCUGCCGUCUUCUCUUCUACACCUUCUCUUCUGAUAGCCAGAAGGAUCUGCACAACACAGAUGUGGAACUUGGAUGUGGGUCACCGAAGCCCAGAGGCAGGACGAUGGUCAAGACUGCUGUGCUGGCCCGGGAUGCAGCAGAUGACCUUGGCAUCUGCCCAACAAGACCUGACAAAGAAAGAAAGUGCCAGAUGCUUGUUGAGUGAAUGACUGAAAUAGACGAGGUUCCAGUGGAUAGAUAGAUGUGCUAUUCCACAUGUCUUUGACCAUGUUUCUUGCACAGACAUGAUCCUGGAGUUCCAGACUGAGCUAAACUGUCUCUUUCCGAAUGCUUAUAUGAACCCAGUGGCUUUAUGUGCCUGGUUCUCUUUGUAGAUCCGAGGGGUGGUGGUCACUCUGGGUACUGUCUGCCCUAUUCUCAUCUCCCACACGCUCUGAAAGUGAUGUCUGUGUGACCCGGUAAAGGGACAGAUUGGUCUCCGGUCCAGGAUGACUAGUUGUAGUGCCCAGACACAUCACCAUGGAGCAGUGAGGACGUACUGAAGGGGUCCCAAGCAGCACUUGGCAUAUAAUAGGUGCUUCAUAAAUGUUUGUCGGCUGACUGACCUGUCCCCGGGUUGGGGGGGGAAGGCUGACCUUGUGAGGGGCUCACCAGGCUUCUUCAUGGCUGUGUUUUGUACAGGCAACUCUAGCUGUCUUUCUAAAGCCUGCAUCUAAUGUUCCUUGUGAGUCAGUUUACCGCGGCUCAGCCCCCAAA